CCGCCCGCGCGGCGCCCGUCCCCAGGUCCCGGCGCCCCUCUCGGGGCCACCGAAGGGUCUGAGGGCUCGGGCGGAGGUCGGCGCGAUCCGAGCCCGUGGGAGCCUCCCCGGUCCGCAGUCCCAGCCGCCAAACGAGCUCGGUCGGACGGACGCUCGCGCUGAGCUAUAAAAUCUGCCCACCACCUCCUGGUGAGGGAAGUCAAGACCAGAGCCUGCUGCAGAAGCCGAUCUGGACUGACCAGCUUUGCAUGCGUGGACCCGACGGCUUGCUGAAGGCCCGUGGAAGCUGGUGAGACACCCCCUCC